GAUGAACGCUGGCGGCGUGCCUAAUACAUGCAAGUCGAGCGAACAGACGAGGAGCUUGCUCCUCUGACGUUAGCGGCGGACGGGUGAGUAACACGUGGAUAACCUACCUAUAAGACUGGGAUAACUUCGGGAAACCGGAGCUAAUACCGGAUAAUAUAUCGAACCGCAUGGUUCAAUAGUGAAAGACGGUUUUGCUGUCACUUAUAGAUGGAUCCGCGCCGCAUUAGCUAGUUGGUAAGGUAACGGCUUACCAAGGCGACGAUGCGUAGCCGACCUGAGAGGGUGAUCGGCCACACUGGAACUGAGACACGGUCCAGACUCCUACGGGAGGCAGCAGUAGGGAAUCUUCCGCAAAGGGCGAAAGCCUGACGGAGCAACGCCGCGUGAGUGAUGAAGGUCUUCGGAUCGUAAAACUCUGUUAUUAGGGAAGAACAAAUGUGUAAGUAACUAUGCACGUCUUGACGGUACCUAAUCAGAAAGCCACGGCUAACUACGUG
rnacentral:rRNA from 1 species